rnacentral:rRNA from 1 species
UACGAAGGGGGCUAGCGUUGCUCGGAAUCACUGGGCGUAAAGGGCGCGUAGGCGGACUUUUAAGUCAGGGGUGAAAUCCUGAGGCUCAACCUCAGAACUGCCUUUGAUACUGUUUGGCUUGAGACCGGUAGAGGUAAGUGGAACUGCGAGUGUAGAGGUGAAAUUCGUAGAUAUUCGCAAGAACACCAGUGGCGAAGGCGGCUUACUGGACCGGUUCUGACGCUGGGGUGCGAAAGCAUGGGGAGCGAACAGG